rnacentral:sRNA from 1 species
ACAUGUCCUUAACCUUGGCACAACAAAUCUCUAAAUCGAUUGAGACCUGUCUCAGAUACUUCUUGGUUUACAAGAUGGAGGCUGAAAUUAAAGAGAAAGAUCCUCACUCAACUCACAGAGGAGCAGAAUGGGAAGAGGACUUAGUGAGAAUUCCCUGAACACAGGAGAAAACCGAAGCCCAGAGAGUGGAUGGCCAAGUCCAAGGUCACACAGCCAAGUGCAUCCGAGCAGCGCAGGAUCCAGGUUUCCUGCCCCAGUGCUCUUUCUGCAGCCCAUGCCACCUGUUUUCAUGCUAUCUCAGUUCACCUUCCAGCUACACACCUGCAAUCAGAAACAGAAAGUCUGAGAGAGUGUGUGGAGCCAAAGAGGGGACAGCAGUGGUGAGGCCAGUUUCAUGUCUUGUGAUUUAUUUUCUCCCUUUCUUUUUGGACUUUAAUCUUAAGUGGACAGCAAUUUGGAACAGUGUCAGCACCUUGUUGGAUUGUGCUGUUUGGGAGAGGUGACACAGAGUAUUUUAAAGGAGCAGGUUAAGAACUUUUCAUAAGGAAUCAAUUGAGAGAAAAUAAAAUAGAAACAGACUGUCCCACAUUUGGGCUGAGCACCAAACACAUUUUUUUUUUUUUUUUUUUGAGACUGAGUCUUGCUCUGUCACUCAGGCUGGAAUGCAGUGGCGCGAUCUCGGCUCACUGCAGCCUUCGCCUCCCGGGUUCAAGUGAUUCUUCUGCCUCAGCCUCCCAAGUAGCUGGGAUUACAGGUGCCCACCACCAUGCCAGGCUAAUUUUUGUAUUUUUAGUAGAGACGAGGUUUCACCAUGUUGGCCAGGCUGGUCUUGAACUCCUGACCAAGUGAUCCACCUGCUUCGGCCUCCCAAAGUGCUGGGAUUACAGGCACGAGCCACUGCACCUGGCCUCAAACAAGCUUUUUAAUUGCAUUCAGAAGUGCACCAACUAGGCACAGACCUCUGGCAUGGAGACAGAAUGGGCGGUUCUUGGUGUCUGGCCUGGUCUUGCAGAAAUCAGGGAGUUGCGGGGACCAGGCAGCCACUGUGCAUCAGAUAGGAGUUUCAGCAGCAGGCAACAGAAAGCCUGCCAAUGUAGCUGAAAUAAGAAGGGCUUAUUUUUAUCCCUGAACAGAAGCUUCCAGCACUGGUUCAUCAGAUCAGGGCACUGAGCUGGCAUCCCCAUUUACACAGUUUUCCUUUCCUUCACCUUUGUAAGAUGCCUGGCACAGCUCUGAGCAUCAAAUAUCUGUGCCAUGUGGGAGCACACGAGGGGACAAGUGGGGAAUAGGGUCUCCUCUGUCCUCUGUCCCCAGGCUGGCUUCUCUCAUGGUAGAAGGACCCCCACAGCACCAGGCCUCAUAACUACCCUGCUGGUAAACUGCAGGUGCUGUCACGGCUUCCUGCCUUCGUAUAUGAAAUGUUCCUUGGCAGUUGGACUGCUGUUUGUUUACCGCACGCACAGCUCUGCUGCGUCUUGGUUACACCAGUGAGCUAUUGCUCCAUGACAAGCCACACCGAAAUGUAGCAAGCACUUAUUGUUGCCCACAUGUCUCAAGUCAGUUGAGUGUUUCUGCCAAUCGGGGCCUGGCUUGGCCCACCUUGGCUGAGCUUGCUCUGGUGCUAGGGUCAGCUAGACAGGUCGGCAGGGGAGACCAGCUGCUCUAGAAGAGCCUGGACAGGAUGAAUUGGUUCUCCUUCCACAUGCAUCUUGCAUCCCUCUAGCCAAGGAUUUGAACCCAGGUCUCGUCUGACUCCAAAUGCACCAAGAGGAUGGAGCCCAGAGUGACACAGAGGAAGAGGCCCCUGGAUGGAUGCAUGGGGAAGGUUAGAAGCAAGGCACAAGUCAUACCUACAUUCAAGGAGAGGGGACCAUGCAAAGGAUAAACUGCAGAGAGACAACAGAUUUACAUCCCAGACACACUGGGCCAAGAGCAGCUGCCAUUGCAGAUUCGAGUCACGUCCUUUUUUCCCUCCUUCUCCUUCUUGGAGUUACAACAGAAGCUGGGGAGGUGAGAGUGCAGAAAGGACGUGGAUGAAGCAGAGAGGCACGUGCCUGUCUCAUUCGCCUCUGGAUCUGCUGCACCCAGGACCGUGCCAGCACAAAGUGGGAGCCCGAUAAAUAUUUAUUGAAGAAAUGAAAGGUGACAAAAGGCAGGAGGGAGACCCCCAAAAGAGGAGAGACAAAGUUUAAUCAUGUGGGCCAGGCUGGUUUUGAACUCCUGACCUCAAGUGAUCUGCCCACCUUGGCCUCCCAAAGUGCUGGGAUUACAGUAUGAACCCAGCAUCACAGUGCACUUGUGGCAGAUGGCAGUGCACACCCGGGAGCUACUCUCCUCCGGCCAGAUGCCCUUCUCCCAGCUGCCCGCCGUGUGGCAGCUCUACCCCGGGAGGAAGUACCGAGCAGCGGAUUCCAGUUUCUGGGAAAUAGCAGACCAUGGCCAGAUUGACUCUAUGGAGCAGCUGGUCCUAACAUAUCAGCCGGAGAGGAAAGACUGACACUGGGAGUGGCUGGCCCUGCCGGCCCUGCCUCUUCUGGCCUGGUGUCUCCUCAUGCCCCCUCAGUGAGGAUCUUCAUGUACCUGCUCUUCUGUUUGCACACCCAGCAUAGCCUCCUUGCGGGCGGAAGGCAGUAGGGCCCCUGCACACUCAGUUUCUCUCGUUUUCCUUAGUUAUCAGUCCUGUCCUGUACCACUCGGGUCUGCACUUAGGGCAGCUGGCCUGGAUGGGCUUCACUGGGGCCCUGUCUGUGCGCUGAGCCAGUUUCCCCUGCUGCCUGCAAGCUGUGGGUUCUUUCUCCUCUGUGCCCCUCAUGCUGAUCUUCUAGAUGCCACUCCCAAAUCCCCUUCAUACCCACCAGGAUGUGUGCCCAGCCAGGCCUCCAGCACCCCCAGUGCAGCUCAUGAUUGGAAACUCACCAUCGGCAGGCAGUGGUUUGGUUUAAGAGAUGGCAUUAGAGGGAGCCCAGUCUGGAUGUGGACUUGGAUGCCCCGUGGGUAUCAGUUCUGCUGACACUUUGGCCCAAAAUAGAUCCAGUGCUGAGCAAGCAAUGUACACCGGAGCCUCAGUGAGCCCAUCUGCACAGUGGGGAGCAUGGAGGGAUGGGUUUGGCCUGUGCUUCUGCUUGUUCAGUCCUUCAGCUCACGGAAGGGAUGCUAGUCCGUGAAGGUGACCUCACAGUACUGGUUAAUUAAACUUUAUUGCUCACUGUCCA